UACAGAGGGUGCGAGCGUUAAUCGGAAUUACUGGGCGUAAAGCGCGCGUAGGCGGCUUUGCAAGUCGAGUGUGAAAUCCCCAGGCCUAACCUGGGAACUGCAUUCGAGACUGCAUGGCUAGAGUAUCGGAGAGGGAAGUGGAAUUUCAGGUGUAGCAGUGAAAUGCGUAGAGAUGUGGAGGAACACCGAUGGCGAAGGCAGCCCCCUGGGCUGAGAUUGACGCUCAGGCACGAAAGCGAUGGGGAGCAAACAGGG
rnacentral:rRNA from 1 species